AUGGAGUGGACAUGGAGAAUCUUCCUGUUUGUGACUGCAGUUACAGGCAGCCACUCUCAGGUACAGUUGGUACAGUCUGGACCUGAGCUGAAGAAGCCUGUAUCAAUAAUGAAGAUCUCCUGGAAGGUUUCAGGAUACACCUUCACUAGCUACUAUCUGCAUUGGGUACAGCACACCACUGGACAUGGGCUCGAGUGGAUGGGACGGAUAGAUCCUAGUGAUGAUGAAACAAAAUACUCACAGAAGUUCCAGGGAAGAGUCAAAAUUACCAGUGACACAUCCACUAACACAGCUUACUUGGAGCUGAGCAAUCUGAGUUCUGAGGACACGGCCAUGUAAUACUGUCCGAGACACACAGUGUAG